ACCUGGAAACAGCCAGAGCUUCAUGAAUGCUUCAUUAACUGUGCCGUACAAGUGCCUAAUGCAUUUUGGUUGUGAUUAUACCGAAUUGAUACCAUACCGUUUGGUACCGAUACUAUAAUUUAGUUAAAAUCAAAACCAAUACCGUGCAAUAUAUGUUCGGUCAGUACCAGCAUCGUAUGGUACCGUUAAAAUUUCCAGAACCCGUACCGUACUCAUAGUACCGUUACAAAAACUGAGCUAAAUUCAAAACAGAAUACUGUACCAUAUAUGUUCGGUCAGUACCUUUAUUCGGUCAAAAAUAACUGUAAGGUAGAUUUUUGUAACCUAAUUAGAUUUGCUUCAAAAUAACAUGUUUAACAACACAGAAAAUACGAUCAUAGAAGUAAUACUCCGCAUCAAAUCAAAUAGAUAUAGUGAAUUGAUGCGAACUGCAUUAUGUUCUUACUAAAAACAUAUUAGCCUUUUGUUAUGAUUUCUAAUAAUGAUUCUACUCGAAACACAGAAGAGAUCGAUGCAUCUUAACAGCACAAACGCCUAUUGAAUCCACACACAACUAACGAGUAUGUUGUUACUAAACACAUAUUCGCCUUAUGUUACCAUUUCUAAUAACUUUACUACUCAAAACAAUGAACAGAUCGAUGCAUCUUAACCUCACAAACACCGAUUAAAUGAUUAGUAAACCUAGCUAUUAAAAGUUCUUCGUUAUCAGUAAUACAAAACGUACUAAAUCUACAACAUCUCCGAUUAUAUUAUAAUAAUAUACACUUCAAGUUAACCUAAUCACGCAUUAAUAUCACUAAAAGUGCAGAAAACUUCAGCUCAGAUCCACAACUGAACAAAUUAUAUAGCUAAAUGAUGAAUAAUAUACAUAUAAAGAGAGAUUUGAGAUCUUACAAGAUGAACAGGCGCUUUGAUAUGUUUAACGAGAGAUGAAGUGCACUGAUUGGCUCUAACUUCAUGCUUAUGGUGUCUCCUAAUGUGGCUGUACUCCGACGAAUCUGUAGCGUCAUCGUAGAAUAA
rnacentral:lncRNA from 1 species